CACAGUGGUACAUCCCUCCAGGUAACCAUUCACCAGUCUUGUACAGUAGAGCGGGACAUUACGUUUACUCUCAGCGGAAUUCACCCGAGAAGGCAUCAGUUCCUGCACUGCACUGGUCUUCACCACGAUUAGUAUAAGUGGCUUCAAGUGUAGGCGUAGCCUCUACAGGUACUGCAACAGAGGGAGAGCAGAGUCAGGAGGGUCUUGGAAGAAGCAAAUGGAGAUCCGUGUCCAGGGGAGUGAGGCUAUUGCGAGUGUGAAAGGUUGUCCAGGAAGUAACUAAGAAGACAUGAACAGAGAGGUGGUGAUCCUCGGUGGAGUGAUGAAGUAGAGCAGCCAGCACCCCAAGUAGAGCAGGCACUGUGGAAAAAUAGUUGUGACUCAACCAGACCAUUACAAAGUAUGGCCUGGAGGAUUUUCAUCUCAAGGUGCAAGAACAUUCUUAAUGACUGUACACGGCAGCUGCUGAUGGACGAUGUUGGGCCAGAUGUGCUACAGUUAGCGUUAAGGAGGUUGGAGACAAUGCAGAGAAGCCUUCAGUGGGCAAGAGGAAGACUGAUCAAUGUAACUGCAGCAGAUCAACUUCUGCGUGACUUGGCUGAAUUGAUUCAGGAUGUCGAACUGUCUACUCAGCAUGGGCAACAAGGCUGUUUUGGAUACCAGGCACCAGUGGUUUUCAACAGAGGUAGAGGUAGAUCCCUUUACCUUAUCACUCGGGAACAGCUUUCAUUCCUGAAGUCAUGUGGAUUCACUGCACCUCAGAUGGCUGAUAUUUUGAGUGUUUCAC